rnacentral:lncRNA from 1 species
GGAGAUCAGCUUCCUCUCCCCGGGGAAUAAGACUCAGUACAGGGUGCUGUGCCACUUAAAUGAGUGAGUUAGAAGCGUCCACAGGGGGCCUGGUGCCGAGUCUCCCACUUCCCCUUCUGUUUCACAGAAGGAUUGCUUCCUUCAAGGAAAAAUCUCACUGGUGUGAGCCUCCAGGCAACAGCAGGAGUUAAAAAUCAACUCUUAGGCCAAGUCGUUCCUGCCUGAGGGUCCUGUUCGGUCUCUCCUCCACAAGCUCUCGAAAUCCCUCCCUGGCCCCUGGCCCUUGCUGAUCUCCCCAUGCUUUGGCCUCUCCCACAAGCCGGGGAGCUCCUGGAAGGUAGGACUUUGAGCCUCCAGGCUCUGAAUUGGGAUCUAGCCUGGAGUAGGUGCCCCAGGCACGUAACUGAGCAUAACCAAACACGUUAUGAACAAGAACCUCUCACUCUUCUGACAAACACCAUACUGACCACUAUCAAUAGCCCUUUGUUGCUUGCUGAUUGGAAAAAGGCUAGGAUUGUGUUAAUACAUUAUCCUUCUUUUGUAGUCCCCAGAGGGUUUUCAUGGAUGCUUUUUGGGUGGUUAAAAUAAUCUCUUCUUUGAAUAUAUCUACUGCCUGCAGCUCCUGGGACCUGUGGAUACUUUUUCUAAAGCAAUCAAACUGAAGUUAGCCAUUGUUUCCUCCUUCCCACUCUAAUACCUGUCCUGCUCAUGUUGAGAACAGCUUCAUACAGUCAUAAUCUGGUCCCCUCACCCCACUCCCUGUCCAAAUGGACAAAACCACAUGUGGCCAGUGGCCAGGCUGGGCUUGGGCUAAAUGAGGAGAAAAGGGAACAAGGUGGGAGUGGUGGGGGUGUGCAGAGGAAACAGGAGAAGGGGGAAGGAAGGGUGAGGCAGGAGGUGAAGGAAAGGAGAGAGAGGAGAGAAGGAGAUGGAGUCCGUGGUCGGCUCUGUUUGCCUGGCCAUGUCCACUCAAGCCUCUGCCAGCUGUACCCAGGUGGAGCCCCCAGGGUGGUCAGAUUCGGCAAGGUUCACAGGUUCCCUCUGCCUCCUGUCUCAGGCACCAUCAUGGCAGCCUCAAGCCCUCCCUGCCCUCUAAGCUGCUGGCUUCCUGCUCUCAUCUGGAGGCUCUCCCAGGUGUGUCUGCACCUAAUCUGUUGUUUGAUUAAUGUCCACCAGGUCCAGGCUACUUCUGGGGCUGCUGUCCAGGUUCCCGCAGGCGGGUUUUUCUCAAGUGCCAAGUGCUGA